CAGCAGCCGCGGUAAUACGUAGGUGGCAAGCGUUGUCCGGAAUUAUUGGGCGUAAAAGGCUCGCAGGCGGUUUCUUAAGUCUGAUGCGAAAGCCCCCGGCUCAACCGGGGAGGGUCAUUGGAAACUGGGAAACUUGAGUGCAGAAGAGGAGAGUGGAAUUCCACGUGUAGCGGUGAAAUGCGUAGAGAUGUGGAGGAACACCAGUGGCGAAGGCGACUCUCUGGUCUGUAAUUGACGCUGAGGAGCGAAAGCGUGGGGAGCGAACAGGAUUAGAUACCCCCGUAGUCCCUGUCUCUUAUAC
rnacentral:rRNA from 1 species